GACGUAGGGCGCGAGCGUUGUCCGGAUUUAUUGGGCGUAAAGAGCGUGUAGGCGGCUAGGUAGGUCCGUUGUGAAAACUCGAGGCUCAACCUCGAGACGCCGAUGGAAACCAUCUGGCUAGAGUCCGGAAGAGGAGAGUGGAAUUCCUGGUGUAGCGGUGAAAUGCGCAGAUAUCAGGAAGAACACCCGUGGCUAAGGCGGCUCUCUAGUACGGUACUGACGCUGAGACGCGAAAGCGUGGGGAGCGAACAGG
rnacentral:rRNA from 1 species